ensembl:lncRNA
CAGUCAAAAGUUUGGACACGCCUACUCAUUCCAGGGUUCUCUACAUAUCUUCUACAUCCUGAAAUGUAUUCCCAUGCCGUCUGAAGAAGACAGGUUGAAAGAUUGAAAACGGCGGCAAAAACAAAGCACACUACAGGAUGAUGUAGAUGACUCCCCCCUCCCCCCAAGAAGUCACAGCAGGUCACAUCAGCAUCCAGCUUUGCAAGAGCAGACCAUACUAAAAAUGAAAUGCACGGCGAACUGGGAGCUGUGAACUGGUGCAAUUGGGAUGGACGGGGAAGACCGCAUUUACAACCCUUAAAUAACUACGGUUGUAUGAUGGCCUGGAUGAAUAGGAAAAUAUUCUCCUCAAGGAACUGACCGUCUUUGCCUCUUUUGAGGAGCAGGAGUGAAGCUAUUUUUGAGGAGUGGUCAAACCUUGUUUUUGUCUGCUGUGUUAAUUGUUUCAAUUGUUAAUUGUGUUAUUUAGUAAAGAUGACGUAGCAGUCACCCGAGUCUCUGGUCUCUUUACUGGAGCUGGUAUAACUGUCUAUAUGGUAUAGUCUGUUUCCAUUCUCAUGAGGAAAGUAAAUAGCAUUAUAAAUCAGGAUAGGUAGUAAGUGUGUGUGUGUAUGUGUGU